rnacentral:rRNA from 1 species
CAAAUUUUUGGCAACAAAAGUUUAAUGAUAAUUGCUGUCGGUAGUAUGAUGUGUGUUUUUUUAAUGAGUCAAUCAGUGAUAAUCUAUUUGAUUUUCUCUCCCAUUGGAUAACCGUGGGAAAUCUAGAGCUAAUACGUGCGGUAUCUUGGCGUACUCUCGGGUACGUCAAAGCAUUUAUUAGACUAUACCAACUACUAUGUUUACGCAUAGUAAGGGGAAUCUGGAUAACUUUGCUGAUCGUAUGGCCUAGUGCCGGCGACGUUUCAAUUGAGUUUCUGCCCUAUCAACUUGUUGGUAAGGUAUUGGCUUACCAAGGUUGCAACGGGUAACGGGGAAUCAGGGUUCGAUUCCGGAGAGGGAGCCUGAGAAACGGCUACCACAUCCAAGGAAGGCAACAGGCGCGCAAAUUACCCAAUCUAGACAGUAGGAGGUGGUGAAGAGAAUUACUAAAUGGUGGUCCAAUGGAUUACUUGUUUGGAAUGAACGUAACUUAAGAAAUUCGUUGAUAAACAACUGGAGGGCAAGUCCUGGUGCCAGCAGCCGCGGUAAUUCCAGCUCCAGUAGUUUGCUUUAAAUCGUAUGGCCUUGAGCUGACGACAUUUCGAUUGAAUUUCUGCCCUAUCAAGCUUUGUGUCCAGAGGUCGAURAAUGAGUCCGUCACCGACGGCCAUUUGUUGACAUUGGCGUUAGAUGCUGCGCUGGAUGCUGUUAGUUGCACGUGAGAUAGAUUGUUGGCCUUUAAUGAGCCGGUAUUCUUGUCUUGCGGGGUGUGCCUUGAAUAAAACAGAGUGCUUAAAGCAGGUUUUUGCCUGAAUGUUAUAGCAUGGAACGAACAAUCGUGUAUAUGUACGUGUUGUUAAAUGGUUACGAGCCUUUGGCUUGUGGUUGUUUGCGAUGCGUACGGCACCCACCUAAAUAUGGCUGUUGGUUCCAUAUACGGUGAUGAUUAACAGGAGCGGUUGGGGGCAUCAGUAUUUGGCCGCGAGAGGUGAAAUUCUUAGACCGGCCAAGGACUAACAAAUGCAAAGGCACUUGUCUAGACCGUUUCCAUUAAUCAAGAACGAAAGUGGGAGGUUCGAAGACGAUCAGAUACCGUCGUAGUUCCCACCGUAAACUAUGCCGACCUGGGAUCAGUUCGGAGAUAUGCAAGCUCCGAAUUGGUCCCCCUGGGAAACCUGAAGUUUUUCGGUUACGGGGAGAGUAUGGUCGCAAGGCUGAAACUUAAAGGAAUUGACGGAAGGGCACCACCAGGGGUGGAGCCUGCGGCUUAAUUUGACUCAACACGGGGAAACUUACCUGGUCCGGACAUCGAUAGGAUAAACAGAUCAAUAGCUCUUUUUUGAUCCGAUGAGUGGUGGUGCAUGGCCGUUCUUAGUUCGUGGAGUGAUCUGUCAGCUUAAUUGCGGUAACGAACGAGACCACAGUCUCCAUUUAAAAGAUGGAAGUAGGCCUGUGGCAACCCGAUGUCAAAGUUGGGAGGCUACGGGCUGCAGGAAGGGUGAUUACUUCAUUGAUUUGCGUGAUUAGGCAACUCUUUGCGUAGAUUGUGGAGAGGGUCAUUUAUCCCUUCCAUCACACGGCAGUUGGCUCUGGCUGGCUGUUGUCUUAUGGAGAGACAACGAGGUAUAAACAAGCUCGAGGAAGAGUGGCUAUAACAGGUCAGUGAUGCCCUUCGAUGUUCAGGGCUGCACGCGCGCUACAAUGAUAACGGCAGCGAGUGUCUGCGUCGAGAGACGUGGGUAAUCUUUAAUCGUUAUCGUGAUGGGGAUUGACCGUUGUAAUUGUCGGUCAUGAAAGAGGAAUCCCUAGUAUGCGCAUUUUAUUAGAAUGUGCAGAUUGAGUCCCUGCCCAGUUUCUGAAUCGAAAGAUUUGGGUAAUCUUGCAAUUGCUAUCGUGAUGGGGAUCGACGUUUGUAGCGUAAAAUGGCGACGU